rnacentral:rRNA from 1 species
GACGAACGCUGGCGGCGUGCUUAACACAUGCAAGUCGAACGGUAAGGCCCUUCGGGGUACACGAGUGGCGAACGGGUGAGUAACACGUGGGUGAUCUGCCCUGCACUUCGGGAUAAGCCUGGGAAACUGGGUCUAAUACCGGAUAGGACCACUGCCUGCAUGGGUGGUGGUGGAAAGCUUUUGCGGUGUGGGAUGGGCCCGCGGCCUAUCAGCUUGUUGGUGGGGUGAUGGCCUACCAAGGCGACGACGGGUAGCCGGCCUGAGAGGGUGACCGGCCACACUGGGACUGAGAUACGGCCCAGACUCCUACGGGAGGCAGCAGUGGGGAAUAUUGCACAAUGGGCGCAAGCCUGAUGCAGCAACGCCGCGUGAGGGACGACGGCCUUCGGGUUGUAAACCUCUUUUAGUAGGGAAGAAGCGAAAGUGACGGUACCUGCAGAAAAAGCACCGGCUAACUACGUGCCAGCCGCCGCAGUAA